rnacentral:rRNA from 1 species
UACGUAGGGUGCAAGCGUUGUCCGGAAUUAUUGGGCGUAAAGAGCUCGUAGGCGGUUUGUCGCGUCUGCUGUGAAAACUCGGGGCUUAACUCCGGGCCUGCAGUGGGUACGGGCAGACUAGAGUGCGGUAGGGGAGACUGGAAUUCCUGGUGUAGCGGUGAAAUGCGCAGAUAUCAGGAGGAACACCGAUUGCGAAGGCAGCUCGCUGGGACGUCACUGACGCUGAGACGCGAAAGCGUGGGGAGCAAACAGG